UGGGUCAAGGGAGUAACAAGGAGCAGCGCUUCAGAUCUCAGAGAGGAUAUGGACCUGUGGAGAGAGACAGAGAGAGAGAAAGAAAGAGAGAGAAGAGAGAGAGAAAGAGAGCGAGAGAGAGAGAAGAGAGAGAGAAAGAGAAAGAGAGUUGGAGUACACAUUGAGAAAGCGGGUUGGUUAUGAGAGAGAGAGAGAGGUGGAGAACACAUUGAGAAAGAGGGUUGGUUAUGAGAGAGAGAGAGAGAGAGAGAGAGAGAGAGAGAGAGAGGUGGAGAACACAUUGAGAAAGAGGGUUGGUUAUGAGAGAGAGAGAAUGCAAACUGUUAAUAAGGAUGGGAGUU
ensembl:lncRNA